GCCCUAGUGGCUCAGUGGUUAAGCACUCAGCUGCUAACUGAAAGGUCGGUGGUUUGAACCUACCUGACAGCU
rnacentral:tRNA from 1 species